rnacentral:piRNA from 1 species
UGGGAAAUAGCAUGGCCUUUACCAGCUUC